GACAGAGGGGGCAAGCGUUGCUCGGAAUUACUGGGCGUAAAGGGCUCGUAGGCGGCCAACUAAGUCGGACGUGAAAUCCCCAGGCUCAACCUGGGAACUGCGUCCGAUACUGGAUGGCUUGAAUUCGGGAGAGGGAUGCAGAAUUCCAGGUGUAGCGGUGAAAUGCGUAGAUAUCUGGAGGAAUACCGGUGGCGAAGGCGGCAUCCUGGACCGACAUUGACGCUGAUGAGCGAAAGCCAGGGGAGCAAACAGG
rnacentral:rRNA from 1 species